rnacentral:lncRNA from 1 species
AUCCCAUAACAGAUGGCUGUGAGCCACCGUGUGGUUGCUGGGAAUUGAACUCAGGACCUCUGGAAGAGCAAUCAAUGCUCUUAACUGCUGAGCCAUCUCUCCAGCCCCACAAAGGAGAACUUUACUCAAGACCAGCCAGGUAAAUCAGUUAGCAUAUCAGGGUUACUUAGAGAGGCAUUGAUGACCCAGGCAGCUACACCACCCCAUCCCACCCCAGACAACUGUCACCUCUUAUAUAGUUGCUAUCGGAAUCCUGGGGAGGCGCUAAUGAGCCUCCAGGGUGUCGUGGCCCUCUCAUAAAAGACUGUUAGUAGUCCUGACUUACAAGGGAGGCUUGCAGAUUGUCAUAGCUGCUCUGCUUCAAGGCAGUAAAGUCAUGGCCAACCCAGAGGACACAACUGCACUACAGACAUGCUUUGAAUUUAGACAAUCUGCUGGUACAAGAUCUGCCAACUUACUGGGUUAUGAAGCACCCAGGAGAUUAAUAAAUAUAUCACAGCUCUGAGUAUGUUCUUUCCAGGGAGGGUUAGCAGAGGAAGGAAGUCUGGCCCUGAAAGGCUCGGUCUGAGGAAAAGGAAAAGUCCUAAGCCAGACCUCUCUUUUCCCACCUCCUCUGCCUCUCCCCUCCCCCUUUCCUCCCCACCCUGUCGGGCUAAGACCUCUGCAACUGGGGGUCAAAACAACCCUUUCCUUCAUUGGUUUUCUCUGAGUAUUGUGUCGCAGUGAGGAAGAGCACUCAGUCCACAGGCACUGUGAAGACACAAUGUAUACACUCCCAAAUAGAAGAACAAACUGAAAAUGUGAUCAGUGCACAGACAACUCCCUCUUAACCUCCAACAAAGGCAAGUGUGUGAGGGGCUGGAGAGAGCGCUGCGGGGUUAAGAGCACUGGCUGCCUUUGUAGAAAACCAGGACUCAGAUCCCAGCACCCACAUGUGGACACCAGACAGUCACGUGGUACACAGAUAUACAGGCAAAACACUCACAUAUAUAAAAAUAAAUUAAAAAAAAAUUUUAACAGAAGUAUGCCAGGCAUGAUGGUGCAGCCUUUAAUAGCACUCAAGAGGCAGAGGCGUUUGGAUCUCUGUGUAUUCAGGGUGAGUCUAAUCUACAAAGGGAGUUCCAGGCAGCUGGGCUGGCCCUGCAUGAGGGCUACAUAGUGAGAACCUGUCUCAAAGAAGAAUGUGUGAGCAUGUGUGUGUGUGUGCAUGUGCUUGUGUGGUUUGUGUGUGUUUGUGUGUGUGUUGGGGGAUAGGGAACAGAAAUUCAGAAACAAUAAAAAUAGAUGGGUGUGAUGUUUAAUUAAUUGUCAACCUGAUUGCACCUGGAAUCAGCUGAGAGCUCAGCCUGGGGCAGGCUUGUUAGAGUAUCCUCAAAAGGAUUCACUGAGGGGGAAAGAUGCCCCGGCCUCAGAGCAAACAGCAUCUUCCAUGUGUAAAGAGGUCCAAUCACAAACAGUGCCUGAAUAAGGCAUUUUUAAGCCAGAAUGGGGCUCCAGCCUUUUUUUUUUUUUUAAUAUAUAUGAGCACAUUUUAGCUGACAUCAGAUACAUUAGAAGAGGACAUCUUUGUUGCAUUACUGAUGGUUGUCAGCCACCACGUGGUUGCUGGGAAUUGAAGAGCAGUCAAUGCUAUUAACUACUGAGACAUCUCUCCAGCCCCAAGGGACUCCAGCCUUUAAUCCCAGGAUUUGAGAAGAAGAGUGAGUUUGAGGCCAGCUUCAUCUACAUAGUGAGUUCUAGGACAACCAGAAGUACAUAGAGAGAUCCUGUAGAUAGAUAGAUGGAUGGAUGGAUGGGUGGAUGGAUGGGUAGAUAGAAGUAAAUAAAUAAAAGUUUUGGGGGGCUGGAGAGAUGGUUCAGCAGUUAAGAGCACUGACUGCUCUUCCAGAGGUCCUGAGUUCAAUUCCCAGCAACCACAUGGUCGCUCACAGCCAUCUGUUAAGGGAUCUGAUGCCCUCUUCUGGUGUGUCUGAAGACAGCUACAGUGUAUCCAUAUAAAUGAAAUAAAGUCUUUUAAAAAUAAAAUAAAAAAUAAAAGUUCUUGUAGGGCACCCAGAAACAGUGACCACCAGUUCAGCACAGUAUUGCACACACACAGCAGUAUUGCACACACACAGUAUUACACACACACAGUAUUGCACACAUACAGUAUUGCACACAUACAGUAUUGCACACACACAGCAGUAUUCCACACACACAGCAGUAUUCCACACACACAGCAGUAUUCCACACACACAGCAGUAUUGCACACACACAGUAUUGCACACAUACAAUAUUCCACACACACAGCAGUAUUCCACACACACAGUAUUCCACACACACAGCAGUAUUACACACACACAGCAGUAUUACACACACACAGCAGUAUUACACACACAGCAGUAUUCCACACACACAGCAGUAUUCCACACACACAGCAGUAUUACACACACAGCAGUAUUCCACACACACAAUAUUGCACACACACAGUAUUGCACACACACAGUAUGCCACACACUCAGUAUUACACACACAUAGUAUUGCGCACAUACAGUAUUGCACACACACAGUAUUCCACAACACAGCAGUAUUCCACAACACAGCAGUAUUGCACAUACACAGUAUUGCACACACACAGUAUUGCACACACACAGUAUUCCACAACACAGCAGUAUUGCACACACACAGUAUUGCACACACAGAGUAUUGCACACACACAGUAUUGCACACACACAGUAUUCCACACACACAGUAUUCCACAACACAGCAGUAUUGCACACACACAGUAUUCCACACACACAGUAUUGCACACACACAGUAUUCUGUUUCUCCUGUGCAGUUGGACAAUGGGGGCGAUCGUGACUAACACUGCUAUAAUAUUAACGGACAAGCUGCUACUUGGAGGCAACUUCUUUCACUCCUGGGUGUGUUCCGAGCAGCAGCAUUGCUCACUUCCUUGGUACCCCCAUGUUUAAGCUCUUGAAGACCGGAAGACUCACUUUCUAAAGCUGGUGUGCCAUCUUACUCUUCCCACCCCACCCCCGACUCCCAGCAGUGCGAGUGCAAGAUGGUCCCCACUGCCCACUGUCUCUGCCUGGUUUCUUUUGUCUUUGCAUGGAUAAAUCACAGGCUAGGUAGCACAACUGAACAGACUUUCCCUCUCCCAUGGCAACAUCCCCAUCUAAUGCAAUCUGUUUCUUUGGCUUAAGGCUAUAUCACUCUAAUUUCUGCCUUUGUUUAUUGCCACCCCCCGAGUGUGUGUGUGUGUGUGUGUGUGUGUGUGUGUGUGUGUGUGUGUGUGUGUGGUGUACACUUGUAACCUUAGCAAUAGGAAGGCAGAGAGGCAAGAAGGUUGAGGUCUGAGGUCAGCCUGGGCAGCAUAGCCAGAGGCUGUCAGAACUGAAACAAGUGAGGCACAUGGCACGUGCUUCUUUCUCAGGACGGCACAGGCAAUUACAUCUGAAAAGCAGCCAGAUGAUUCAGGAUAAGCUUCUCGCCUCCAUGCACCUUUUGCCAUAUAAGCAGUGAGAUCGGAGCGGAGGAUGAAACAGGAAGUGGCAGGAACCCACUCCUCGUCUGGAUGACGUCACAGCAGAAUCUGUCGGUUGUGACUGUCGUGAAUCCCUGGAGUCUGCUGGAAAGUUUGCAGUUUCCAGACCGAGGCUUGUGCUGCUCGGUUCCUCUGACACACUGUGGUAGGAGACUAGGGACCUGUAACUGUGUGAGUGUGGGUGUAUUUACCCGUGCAUGCGCAUGUGGAGGACAGAAAUUGAUGUUUCGUGUCUUCCUAUAUUCGGUAUGGCAUAUUGAUAUCUGAUGUCUUCCUAUAUUCAAUACAAUAUAUUGAUGUCUGAUGUCUUCCUAUAUAUUAUAUUAAUGUCCAGUGUCUUCCUAUGUCAAUAUGGUAUAGUGUUGCAAUCUUAUUUUUUUGAG